GGGGGAUGGGUAGCUGCACAGAACUGGGGGCAAAGGCGGAGAGAACAAACAGAGAGUUUCAUGGCUUCUAUUAUGUUUGCUAAGGUCAUCAGGAAAUCGGAAGUGAUCAGCAUUCUAUAGACCUCGUACUUCUCAUUACAAUAUGGCCCCUUAAAGAACCCCGAAAAAACAAUACAACCCCUUCAUCUGAGGUUUUCUUUCCAUGGUUUCAGUGACCUGUGGUCUGCUGCGGUCUGGAAGCAGAUGAUCCUCCUUGUGAAAACAGAAGGUCCAUAGUGGCCUAAGGCUGCGUCACGAUGCUUGCAUGAUUCAUAUCACGUCUUCUCACCUCAGAGGCAUUUUGUCGUCUUACAUCACCACAGCAAGAAGGGUACUUGGGGAGACUUGAUGACUACUUGGCCCCGGCUGUUUCCCAAAGGCUUCCUGAGACUGGAGUCAUUCCUGCCUUCAAUCCUGAAAGUGCUUUAAGUGUAGGGAUGGAACUGGUUCCCAGGGAUGAGGCUAUGGGAUGAAUCACCCUCCAAGUUCACAUGUGAAAAUCCCAACCCCUCACACCUCAAAUGUAAUGGUAUUGGAGGCAAAGUUUGAAGAGCCGACGUUUGAAUGAGGCCACUAAGGUUCGGGAGAGGCCUUCAUCCAAACUGACUGGUGUCCUGAUGAGAAGGCGAAAUUAGGACACAGGUGGAGAUUCUACAGAUGCCUGUGAACAGAGGAUUGAUCACGUGAAGAGGCAUCCAGAGGGCAGCCAUCUGCACGUCAACCAGGGAGGUCUCAAGGGAAACCAAUGGCACAGACACCUUGACCUUGGACUUUCAGCUUCCUAAACUAGGAGAAAAUAAAUGUCUAUUGUUUCAG
rnacentral:lncRNA from 1 species